CUCAUCUGUAAAACUUUCUGCAUUUCACCAUGGAAGUGGCAACCCACUUCUCCAGGACCCUUCUCUCUGCAGGAGAUAACUUUUCUCUUUCUUUCACUUAUUAAACCUCCACUCUUAACUUUACUCUUCGUGUGUCCACAUCCUUGAUUUCCUUGGCAUGAGUCAACAAACCUUGGGUAUUACCCCAGACAAAUGAUGCCACUUUAGUUUCCACUUUUCCAGACACAUUAAUGUAGGUGCAACAGGUUUUGCUGACGACAGCACAGACUCCUCCUUGUUCAGCUAGGAGGUAUUCCGGGGCUCAUCUAUUAUCAAAAGCCAUUCCCGCUAGUGAGUCCAAAGACUUUUCCAGCACCGAUAGACUUGCACCAGUUUUUGCUAAGGCUGUUUCAAGGGAGGAGGAAGAAGCAAAGAAGUCUAAGUUCUUUGGAGUAAGAUGCUCUCAAAUGCCUAGGAACACUGAUCUCCUAACUUGUCUUCCUGCUUUGAGUGUCCCUCUGAGGUUAAAGUUCCUGCCUCAGUCUCCAACAAUGGUCCCUGGCCCUCCCCUUUCCUCUGUGCUCUCAGCAGCUGACCUUGUCUUUUCCUUUACUGAGAGUAGAGGCACCUCUUACAAAUACUCUGGCCUCUGCCUGGACUGACUGGGCUAAAUUGUCUCCGAAGAUGGCCACCAACCAUUCCUCCCACCUGUCUGCAUGCAGGCUGCUCCUCCCGUCAGAAGAUGGAGACUGCUUCCUUGCCCUUCAAUCCAAGCUGGCUCAUGACUUGCUUCAAUGAAUAGGAAAUGGCAGAAGUGAUGCUCUGAGGCUUCUGGGCCUAGACUUUAAGAGGUGUUGCCCCUUUCCUUUUUCCCUCUUGGGAUCCAGCCUACCACAUAGAGAAGUUUGGGUUGACAACUAAAUGUGAGAGAGAGACAGACAGAGAGAAGAGGGAGAGCUGAUUCAGCUAGACCUUAGUCAUUCCAGCCAUCCUAGCUGAAGCACUAGCAUGUGAAAGAAGCCACCUUCUAACCUAUCAAUCAGAGCCCCCAAUUUUACUGACCUCAGUCAACACCAUGUGGAACAGAACUACCCCAGGGAGCCCAACCAACCCAUACAAUCAUGAGAAAUUAAAAACUGAUGUUGUAGCCUCCUGAGUUUUAAGGUAGUUUGUUACACAAAAAUACUGGAAUUUUGACCCACCUUCACCUCCAAUGCCAACCUAGUAAACCUGGAUAUAUCUUUCAAAAUUUGGCUCAAGUGUCAACUCUUUCAUGAACCCUCUGUAUCCUUUUCUUGCUCAUUCAAGCCCUAUUUUCUCUUCUCCUCCCCAAAAUUCCAUAGUACUUUGUAUUACAAACUAUGUGCUUACAACCCCCAAAGUCUCUGGGCAUCCAGAAGGCAGAGAUUUGGCUUAAUUCAUUUUUGCCUCUGCCUAGCCUAACACCCGGCACAUUUAGAUAUUUAGUUAUUGUUUGCUGAAUGAAUGGAUGCAUGAAGAAGAAAAUUUAACAGAUGAUAUCUACAGGCACAUCUGGCUCCAAAAUUGAAUCAUGUCAUCUAGCAAUGCUCAGUAAAGUUAACAUAAGCAAUUUC
rnacentral:lncRNA from 1 species